ensembl:lncRNA
AGAAACGCUGCUUCGGGGGAUGGGGCCAAGCGCAGCUCCUCGCCGUUACGGCUGGGAUGCGGCGCGGCGGCUCGGUGGGACGCACGGCUUUGCGGUGCGCCGGGUCCGACUGCUCCUCACCGCGACUUCGGGGCUGCGGGAGGCAAGAAGAGGCUUCUGGAAAGCGUUGUUCGGCGGUUUGUUUUUUUCCGAGCCCUCCCAGCAGCUGCAGAGGAGGAGGCCAGGAAUUGCAUCGUUCUGGUUCUGUAAAUGCUGGAUGUAAGCACCAAGGACUGCUCAUCCUCAUCUCAUUACCAAAACCACGAUCCUACAAUGAUGGCACGGAACGCUGUGGGAAUAAGUUGGUUUGCGGAGCAGUGCAUGUUUGCAGAAAGCUCACGGGGUUGGUUGGUGGAGCAGACCGAGUGCCUCUGAUGGAGCUCUGGGUGUCUCUAUUCAUUGCAGGGAGUUGGGCCAGAUGGCCUUUAAGGGUCUCUUCCAGUGCCAAGGAUUCUAUGGAUCUAUCUUCCUGGCCCGUAGAAAGCAAUUAAUGCCCCACUUUACAUGGAUGCUGGCUCAUGUCAGCCCACUGCCGGUAUUUCAGGCUCCUACCGAGAUUAGCAUAGGAUAAAUACUGGAAAAAUCCAAUCACUAAUUAUUAUGCAACAAAAUAGGAAACGCCAAACUUUGCGCAGAACCUUAUUCACAGCAAAUUAUCCAACCAGCCACAACCAAGGUCAUUUCAAACCGAAAGCACUCUCUAUUGAAAAGCACAACAAUAUUCAGGCCCCGUUCACUGCCCAACAGCGAGGAAGCCACAAUUGCUGCUGUGUGUGUGGGGCUGAGCCCAGGGGUGCACCCACCGGAGCCGCAGAGCAGCCCACCCCAUGCACUGCAACUCUUCCACCCCAACGUCAGCCCUGGGCACGGCUCGCACACUGCUGUCCCAGCAGCCCCACCAGCUCCUGCCCUUCCUUCCUUCCACGGCAGCUUCAGGUGUCCACGCGGUGCUCUGCCCUGCAGCUCACACUGAGCUGAAUGGAUGUCCUCUUCCUUUGCACGCAUGGCCUCACCUGUGUUCGCAGUGCGGGGAUGAGCUCCGAUCGCCCAUCCAAGCAAGCGGUGUGCUGCACCACAAGCACAAAUACCAGCUCUGCUGCACUGCAUACGUGCAGAGGACCCAGCAGCUCGCCCCACAGUGACCGUUCAAGCUGCCCAGUGCGACUUCAUUCCUUUUCUCUUUGCCUUUUUCCUCCCUGAGCCUCUGCUGUAGUUUGUGCCCAUCCCUGCCGGCUCCUGGCUGCAUUCGGAGGCUCCUCCUGCACGAAGGCGGUGAUGCUCCAGACCCUGACUGCCACAGCGUACUCCCUCAGCGCCAACAACCCGGA